rnacentral:rRNA from 1 species
UACGAAGGGGGCUAGCGUUGCUCGGAUUGACUGAGCGUAAAGGGCGCGUAGGCGGUCUGUACAGUCAGGCGUGAAAUUCCUGGGCUCAACCUGGGGGCUGCGUUUGAUACGUGCAGACUAGAGUGCGGAAGAGGGUCGUGGAAUUCCCAGUGUAGAGGUGAAAUUCGUAGAUAUUGGGAAGAACACCGGUGGCGAGGGCGGCGACCUGGUCCGAUACUGACGCUGAGGCGCGAAAGCGUGGGGAGCAAACAGG